rnacentral:rRNA from 1 species
AAUAGAUACCCGGGUAGUCCACGCCGUAAACGAUGGAUACUAGCUGUUCGUCCGCCUCGGCGGAUGAGUGGCUAAGCGAAAGUGAUAAGUAUCCCACCUGGGGAGUACGAACGCAAGUUUGAAACUCAAAGGAAUUGACGGGGGCCCGCACAAGCGGUGGAGCAUGUGGUUUAAUUCGAUGAUACGCGAGGAACCUUACCAAGGCUUAAAUGUAGAUUGACAGGACAGGAAACAGUUUUUUCUUCGGACAAUUUACAAGGUGCUGCAUGGUUGUCGUCAGCUCGUGCCGUGAGGUGUCAGGUUAAGUCCUAUAACGAGCGCAACCCCUGUUGUUAGUUGCCAGCGAGUCAAGUCGGGAACUCUAACAAGACUGCCAGUGUAAACUGUGAGGAAGGUGGGGAUGACGUCAAAUCAUCACGGCCCUUACGGCCUUGGGCUACACACGUGCUACAAUGGCCGGUACAGAGAGCAGCCACUGCGCGAGCAGGAGCGAAUCUAUAAAACCGGUCACAGUUCGGAUCGGAGUCUGC